rnacentral:lncRNA from 1 species
GUUUACUUUCUUCUAGUUCAUUGCUUGACAGCAAUAUAUCCUUCCCUUAAUGUUCGAUUUCCACAGUUAAUUAAUAAAAGUCCCGGUUAGUGACCUUUGUUUGUAUUGCAGGUGUGUGUGGUGAAACCAGGGACAGAAAAGUUGAUUGGAUUUUGUUUGUGAAAUUUUUUUCUCAAGCAAUAAGGACACACUGAGAUGCUAAAGAAUAAAUGGAAGAACAGGAAAAGAACACUUCUUUGUUCAUCAAAUCACAGAAAGUGUCUGCUAACUCAGGUGGCUUACAGGAAUGAAAAUCUGUUAGAUGACACGCAACCUGCCCUUUCAAAGCUCCUCAAGGACCCUGGGGAUUUUGCAGCCAUCUGGAAUUUGCUGUCAUGCUGUGAUUUCUGCAGUGGCACCUUUUUACCUUUUUUCUUCACAACAGUUUUCAUUUUAAGGGAAGUUUCCAUUUUCUUCCCAGAAGUUCAAGGGGUCCCUUGACACCCCACCAACUUUGAGGAGCCUGUAUUAGUGCUGCUGCUCAGCAUCGCUCACAGGUAUGGCUUCACUGAAUUACAUGCACCUACUUGCAUACUAAGUCAUCAUCUUUUCUAUGACCAUUGCUGUGUUU